rfam:Vulcanisaeta sp. OSP_8 scf1118686596633, whole genome shotgun sequence.
GGGGCCGUAGUCUAGCCUGGCUAGGAUGCUCGGCUCGGGCUGGUCGGCCAUGUGGGUUCAGGGAGACUCAAAGCCACGGGAUCCCGAGUGAUCCCGGGUUCAAAUCCCGGCGGCCCCA